rnacentral:rRNA from 1 species
UGGGGAAUUUUGGACAAUGGGCGCAAGCCUGAUCCAGCCAUGCCGCGUGUCUGAAGAAGGCCUUCGGGUUGUAAAGGACUUUUGUCAGGGAAGAAAAGGCUGUUGCUAAUACCGACAGCUGAUGACGGUACCUGAAGAAUAAGCACCGGCUAACUACGUGCCAGCAGCCGCGGUAAUACGUAGGGUGCGAGCGUUGAUCGGAAUUACUGGGCGUAAAGCGGGCGCAGACGGUUACUUAAGCAGGAUGUGAAAUCCCCGGGCUCAACCUGGGAACUGCGCUCUGAACUGGGUGACUAGAGUGUGUCAGAGGGAGGUAGAAUUCCACGUGUAGCAGUGAAAUGCGUAGAGAUGUGGAGGAAUACCGAUGGCGAAGGCAGCCUCCUGGGAUAACACUGACGUUCAUGCUCGAAAGCGUGGGUAGCAAACAGGAUUAGAUACCCUGGUAGUCCACGCCCUAAACGAUGUCAAUUAGCUGUUGGGCAACUUGAUUGCUUAGUAGCGUAGCUAACGCGUGAAAUUGACCGCCUGGGGAGUACGGUCGCAAGAUUA